UAGAAGUCGUGGCGAUGCUAAAGUCGCUGCACCGCUGGCAGCAUUCCUUCAUAACCCGUUGGCUGUGCAGGAGUUGAGGGCUAACAAGAAAGAAUUGCGAGUAGAAAAGUUGAAGGACAAAGAGGAAGUAGAGGACUUAACUCAGGAAAUGGCUGAGCUGUGGUAUCGAACUCUCAUCCCUAGACCUCAAGCUUCAUCUCUCCAACUCAAUUGGCAGGAAUGGAUCUUUGGUUGAUGGAUGGAAGUGGUCGAGGCCUAAUGGAGGGCAUGCAGGACUAACAUAAGCAAUGAAGACAUGAAAUAUUUAAACAAAACAAGAUUUUUCAUGUUUGGUGGAUAGAAUAACAGAAAAGAAUGGAAUUGCUUUGGUUUCAUCAGUGUAAAAUAAGUUA